UACGGGGGGAGCAAGCGUUGUUCGGAUUUACUGGGCGUAAAGGGCGCGUAGGCGGUCAGCACAAGUCAGUUGUGAAAUCUCCGGGCUUAACUCGGAAAGGUCAACUGAUACUGUGCGACUAGAGUGCGGAAGGGGCAACUGGAAUUCUCGGUGUAGCGGUGAAAUGCGUAGAGAUGUGGAGGAACACCGAUGGCGAAGGCAGCCUCCUGGGCCAGCACUGACGCUCAUGCACGAAAGCGUGGGGAGCAAACAGG
rnacentral:rRNA from 2 species